rnacentral:sRNA from 1 species
CGAGUGAAGCGGCAACAGCUCAAAUUUGAAAUCUGGCUCUAUUUUGGAGUCCGAGUUGUAAUUUGUAGAGGGCGCUUUGGCGUCGGCAGCGGUCUAAGUUCCUUGGAACAGGACGUCACAGAGGGUGAGAAUCCCGUAUGUGGUCGCGUGCCUUCGCCGUGUAAAGCCCCUUCGACGAGUCGAGUUGUUUGGGAAUGCAGCUCUAAAUGGGAGGUAAAUUUCUUCUAAAGCUAAAUACUGGCCAGAGACCGAUAGCGCACAAGUAGAGUGAUCGAAAGAUGAAAAGCACUUUGGAAAGAGAGUCAAAAAGCACGUGAAAUUGUUGAAAGGGAAGCGCUUGCAGCCAGACUUGCCUGCGGUUGCUCAUCCGGGCUCUCGCCCGGUGCACUCUUCCGUAGGCAGGCCAGCAUCAGUUUGGGCGGCUGGAUAAAGGCCUCUGUCAUGUACCUUCCCUCGGGAAGGCCUUAUAGGGGAGGCGUAAUGCAGCCAGCC